AGCGUACACGGUGGAUGCCCUGGCAGUCAGAGGCGAUGAAGGACGUGCUAAUCUGCGAAAAGCGCCGGCGAGGUGAUAUGAACCCUUGACCCGGCGAUGUCCGAAUGGGGAAACCCAGUGCAAUUCGUUGCACUAUCGUUAACUGAAUACAUAGGUUAACGAGGCGAACCGGGGGAACUGAAACAUCUAAGUACCCCGAGGAAAAGAAAUCAACCGAGAUUCCCCCAGUAGCGGCGAGCGAACGGGGAGCAGCCCGGAGUCUGAAUCAGCUUGUGUGUUAGUGGAACGGUCUGGAAAGUCCGACGGUACAGGGUGAUAGUCCCGUACACGAAAGCACACAUGCUGUGAACUCGAAGAGUAGGGCGGGACACGUGGUAUCCUGUCUGAAUAUGGGGGGACCAUCCUCCAAGGCUAAAUACUCCUGACUGACCGAUAGUGAACCAGUACCGUGAGGGAAAGGCGAAAAGAACCCCGGCGAGGGGAGUGAAAAAGAACCUGAAACCGUGUACGUACAAGCAGUGGGAGCCUCUUUAUGGGGUGACUGCGUACCUUUUGUAUAAUGGGUCAGCGACUUAUAUUCUGUAGCAAGGUUAACCGUAUAGGGGAGCCGAAGGGAAACCGAGUCUUAACUGGGCGUUAAGUUGCAGGGUAUAGACCCGAAACCCGGUGAUCUAGCCAUGGGCAGGUUGAAGGUUGGGUAACACUAACUGGAGGACCGAACCGACUAAUGUUGAAAAAUUAGCGGAUGACCUGUGGCUGGGGGUGAAAGGCCAAUCAAACCGGGAGAUAGCUGGUUCUCCCCGAAAGCUAUUUAGGUAGCGCCUCGUGAACUCAUCUUCGGGGGUAGAGCACUGUUUCGGCUAGGGGGCCAUCCCGGCUUACCAACCCGAUGCAAACUACGAAUACCGAAGAAUGUUAUCACGGGAGACACACGGCGGGUGCUAACGUCCGUCGUGAAGAGGGAAACAACCCAGACCGCCAGCUAAGGUCCCAAAGUCAUGGUUAAGUGGGAAACGAUGUGGGAAGGCACAGACAGCCAGGAUGUUGGCUUAGAAGCAGCCAUCAUUUAAAGAAAGCGUAAUAGCUCACUGGUCGAGUCGGCCUGCGCGGAAGAUGUAACGGGGCUAAACCAUGCACCGAAGCUGCGGCAGCGACACUAUGUGUUGUUGGGUAGGGGAGCGUUCUGUAAGCCGUUGAAGGUGUGCUGUGAGGCAUGCUGGAGGUAUCAGAAGUGCGAAUGCUGACAUAAGUAACGAUAAAGCGGGUGAAAAGCCCGCUCGCCGGAAGACCAAGGGUUCCUGUCCAACGUUAAUCGGGGCAGGGUGAGUCGACCCCUAAGGCGAGGCCGAAAGGCGUAGUCGAUGGGAAACAGGUUAAUAUUCCUGUACUUGGUGUUACUGCGAAGGGGGGACGGAGAAGGCUAUGUCAGCCGGGCGACGGUUGUCCCGGUUUAAGCAUGUAGGCGGAGGUUCCAGGUAAAUCCGGUACCUUUUUAACGCUGAGGUGUGAUGACGAGGCACUACGGUGCUGAAGUGAUAAAUGCCCUGCUUCCAGGAAAAGCCUCUAAGCAUCAGGUAACACGAAAUCGUACCCCAAACCGACACAGGUGGUCAGGUAGAGAAUACCAAGGCGCUUGAGAGAACUCGGGUGAAGGAACUAGGCAAAAUGGUGCCGUAACUUCGGGAGAAGGCACGCUGAUGUGUAGGUGAAGCCCCUGCGGGCGGAGCUGAAAUCAGUCGAAGAUACCAGCUGGCUGCAACUGUUUAUUAAAAACACAGCACUGUGCAAACACGAAAGUGGACGUAUACGGUGUGACGCCUGCCCGGUGCCGGAAGGUUAAUUGAUGGGGUUAGCGGCAACGCGAAGCUCUUGAUCGAAGCCCCGGUAAACGGCGGCCGUAACUAUAACGGUCCUAAGGUAGCGAAAUUCCUUGUCGGGUAAGUUCCGACCUGCACGAAUGGCGUAAUGAUGGCCAGGCUGUCUCCACCCGAGACUCAGUGAAAUUGAACUCGCUGUGAAGAUGCAGUGUACCCGCGGCAAGACGGAAAGACCCCGUGAACCUUUACUAUAGCUUGACACUGAACACUGGUCCUUGAUGUGUAGGAUAGGUGGGAGGCUUUGAAGCGUGGACGCCAGUCUGCGUGGAGCCAACCUUGAAAUACCACCCUUUAAUGGCUGGUGUUCUAACGUAGACCCGUAAUCCGGGUUGCGGACAGUGUCUGGUGGGUAGUUUGACUGGGGCGGUCUCCUCCCAAAGAGUAACGGAGGAGCACGAAGGUUGGCUAAUCCUGGUCGGACAUCAGGAGGUUAGUGCAAUGGCAUAAGCCAGCUUGACUGCGAGCGUGACGGCGCGAGCAGGUGCGAAAGCAGGUCAUAGUGAUCCGGUGGUUCUGAAUGGAAGGGCCAUCGCUCAACGGAUAAAAGGUACUCCGGGGAUAACAGGCUGAUACCGCCCAAGAGUUCAUAUCGACGGCGGUGUUUGGCACCUCGAUGUCGGCUCAUCACAUCCUGGGGCUGAAGUAGGUCCCAAGGGUAUGGCUGUUCGCCAUUUAAAGUGGUACGCGAGCUGGGUUUAGAACGUCGUGAGACAGUUCGGUCCCUAUCUGCCGUGGGCGCUGGAGAAUUGAGGGGGGCUGCUCCUAGUACGAGAGGACCGGAGUGGACGCAUCACUGGUGUUCGGGUUGUCAUGCCAAUGGCACUGCCCGGUAGCUAAAUGCGGAAGAGAUAAGUGCUGAAAGCAUCUAAGCACGAAACUUGCCCCGAGAUGAGUUCUCCCUGAGACCUUGA
rnacentral:rRNA from 1 species